rnacentral:rRNA from 1 species
AGCAGCCGCGGUAAUUCCAGCUCCAAUAGCGUAUAUUAAAGUUGUUGCAGUUAAAAAGCUCGUAGUUGAAUUUCGGGGUUAGUAGGUUGGUCAUGCCUCUGGUAUGUACUGGUCUCACUGAUUCCUCCUUCCUGAUGAACCUUAAUGCCAUUAAUUUGGUGUUUUGGGGAAUUUGGACUGUUACUUUGAAAAAAUUAGAGUGUUUAAAGCAAGCUAACGCUUGAAUACAUUAGCAUGGAAUAAUGAAAUAGGACGUUCGAUCCUAUUUUGUUGGUUUCUAGGAUUGACGUAAUGAUUAAUAGGGAUAGUUGGGGGCAUUAGUAUUCAAUUGUCAGAGGUGAAAUUCUUGGAUUUAUUGAAGACUAACUACUGCGAAAGCAUUUGCCAAGGAUGUUUUCAUUAAUCAAGAACGAAAGUUAGGGGAUCGAAGACGAUCAGAUACCGUCGCAGUCUUAACCAUAAACUAUGCCGACUAGGGAUCGGAUGAUGUUAAUUUUUUAAUGACUCAUUCGGCGCCUUA